UACAGAGGUCUCAAGCGUUGUUCGGAUUCAUUGGGCGUAAAGGGUGUGUAGGUGGCGCGCUAAGUCGGGUGUGAAAUUUCGGAGCUUAACUCCGAAACUGCAUUCGAUACUGGCGUGCUUGAGGACUGGAGAGGAGACUGGAAUUCAUGGUGUAGCGGUGAAAUGCGCAGAUAUCAGGAGGAACACCAAUGGCGAAGGCAGCUCGCUGGGACGGUACUGACGCUGAGACGCGAAAGCGUGGGGAGCAAACAGG
rnacentral:rRNA from 1 species